UACGGAAGGCAGCAGUGGGGAAUAUUGCACAAUGGGCGCAAGCCUGAUGCAGCCAUGCCGCGUGUAUGAAGAAGGCCUUCGGGUUGUAAAGUACUUUCAGUCGUGAGGAAGGUGUUAAGGUUAAUAACCUUAGCAAUUGACGUUAGCGACAGAAGAAGCACCGGCUAACUCCGUGCCAGCAGCCGCGGUAAUACGGAGGGUGCGAGCGUUAAUCGGAAUUACUGGGCGUAAAGGGCACGCAGGCGGUUAAUUAAGUUGGAUGUGAAAUCCCCGGGCUUAACCUGGGAAUGGCAUUCAAGACUGGUUAGCUAGAGUCUUGUAGAGGGGGUAGAAUUCCAUGUGUAGCGGUGAAAUGCGUAGAGAUGUGGAGGAAUACCGGUGGCGAAGGCGGCCCCUGGACAAAGGCUGACGCUCA
rnacentral:rRNA from 1 species